rnacentral:rRNA from 1 species
GACGAACGCUGGCGGCGUGCUUAACACAUGCAAGUCGAACGGAAAGGCCCUGCUUUUGUGGGGUGCUCGAGUGGCGAACGGGUGAGUAACACGUGAGUAACCUGCCCUUGACUUUGGGAUAACUUCAGGAAACUGGGGCUAAUACCGGAUAGGAGCUCCUGCUGCAUGGUGGGGGUUGGAAAGUUUCGGCGGUUGGGGAUGGACUCGCGGCUUAUCAGCUUGUUGGUGGGGUAGUGGCUUACCAAGGCUUUGACGGGUAGCCGGCCUGGGAGGGUGACCGGGGACCAGGGGACUGAGGUAGGGAGCAGAAGCGAACGGGACGCAGUAGUGGGGAAUAUUGCGGAACGGGGGGAAGCCAGAGGCAGCAACGCCGCGUGCGGGAUGCCGGCCUUCGGGUUGUAAACCGAUUUCGCCUGUGACGAAGCGUGAGUGACGGUAAUGGGUAAAGAAGCACCGGCUAACUACGUG